CCCCGGGGAGCCCGGCG
rnacentral:miRNA from 1 species